ACUAAAUAUGCCCACUACGGUCUCUCGAAUCGCAAGAUCGAGAGCGAGAAAGGGAAUCCGGUGCGGCGAAUGCCAAUGCCGGAACUGCCCCCGCAACUGUAAGCGGUGAGUCCCAUCCAAUGGUGCCACUGGAGCGUGCUCCGGGAAGGCUGGAUAUGGACUGCGACCCGCAAGUCAGGAGACCUGCCGUAGCAACGAUCUUACG
rnacentral:ncRNA from 2 species